CCAUCAUCUGCUGCACUUCCACGAUUCCUUUGGAGCAUGUGAGCACAGAGCACUGCGAUAAACCAAGACUGGGGCUGAGCCAGUAUGGCAAUAGCUAUGGAUCUGCACAGAGAUGGUGUUGGAAUUGAAAAGCAGGUUUUGUAUUCAUGUCUCCUGUGUACCCUACCUCAGCGCAUGGCAGCCAUGCGGGAUGUCUUUCUGGUGUCCUACCUGCAGAGGUGGGCAGGACCCCUUGCCAUCCUGACUUCUCCCUCAGUCCCAGCUGAGGAAACAUAGAAACAUGUACAGCAUAUGCUCGUUGACUGCCUUGCAGAGUGCUUCUUCUGGAAUUAUGGAAAAGGCACAGAAGGAAAAUAGUGCAUCUAACAAAGCGCUCGUGUGAUGCAGCUGUAUCCGUUCUUAAUCUUCCAUUAAUGCCUCAUCGUAAGAGUACUGUACUUUCCGUUUGUUUCAUUUACCAAAGGUCAGCAUACUCGGAAGCUAUUGUCAUAG
ensembl:lncRNA